UACAGAGGUCUCAAGCGUUGUUCGGAAUCACUGGGCGUAAAGGGUGCGUAGGUGGCGUGGUAAGUCAGAUGUGAAAGCCCAGGGCUCAACCCUGGAACUGCAUCCGAUACUACCAUGCUAGAGUAUUGAAGGGGAAACUAGAAUUCUCGGUGUAGCAGUGAAAUGCGUAGAUAUCGAGAGGAAUACCAAAGGCGAAGGCAGGUUUCUUGGCAAUUACUGACACUGAGGCACGAAGGCCAGGGUAGCGAACGGG
rnacentral:rRNA from 1 species